GACGAACGCUGGCGGCGUGCUUAACACAUGCAAGUCGAACGGAAAGGCCCUGCUUUUGUGGGGUGCUCGAGUGGCGAACGGGUGAGUAACACGUGAGUAACCUGCCCUUUACUUUGGGAUAACUUCAGGAAACUGGGGCUAAUACCGGAUAGGAGCUCCUGCUGCAUGGGGGGGGUUGGAAAGUUUCGGCGGUUGGGGAUGGACUCGCGGCUUAUCAGCUUGUUGGUGGGGUAGUGGCUUACCAAGGCUUUGACGGGUAGCCGGCCUGAGAGGGUGACCGGCCACAUUGGGACUGAGAUACGGCCCAGACUCCUACGGGAGGCAGCAGUGGGGAAUAUUGCACAAUGGGCGGAAGCCUGAUGCAGCAACGCCGCGUGCGGGAUGACGGCCUUCGGGUUGUAAACCGCUUUCGCCUGUGACGAAGCGUGAGUGACGGUAAUGGGUAAAGAAGCACCGGCUAACUACGUG
rnacentral:rRNA from 1 species